CUAAGUUUGAUGGCGACCGGCGCACGGGUGAGUAACACGUAUCCAACCUGCCGAUGACUCGGGGAUAGCCUUUCGAAAGAAAGAUUAAUACCCGAUGGCAUAGUUCUUCCGCAUGGUAGAACUAUUAAAGGAAUUUCGGUCAUCGAUGGGGAUGCGUUCCAUUAGGUUGUUGGCGGGGUAACGGCCCACCAAGCCUUCGAUGGAUAGGGGUUCUGAGAGGAAGGUCCCCCACAUUGGAACUGAGACACGGUCCAAACUCCUACGGGAGGCAGCAUG
rnacentral:rRNA from 1 species